rnacentral:rRNA from 1 species
CCCUUAGAUGUUCUGGGCCGCACGCGCGCUACACUGAUGCAUUCAACGAGCCUAUCCUUGACCGGCAGGUCCGGGUAAUCUUUGAAUCUGCAUCGUGACGGGGAUAGAUUAUUGCAAUUAUUAAUCUUCAACGAGGAAUGCCUAGUAGGCGCAAGUCAUCAGCUUGCGUCGAUUACGUCCCUGCCCUUUGUACACACCGCCCGUCGCUCCUACCGAUUGGGUGUGCUGGUGAAAUGUUCGGAUCGGCCGUUUGUCGCGGUUUCCGCGGCUCGUGGCUGGGAAGUUCAUUAAACCCUCCCACCUAGAGGAAGGAGAAGUCGUAACA